rnacentral:rRNA from 1 species
UUAGAUACCCUAUUAUAUUAAUGAAAUUCUAGAUUAAUAAUAGAUAUGUUCUUUAAAUUUGAAGAAUUUGGCGGUGAUUUAGUCUUGUUAGAGGAACCUGUUUUUGAAUCGAUACACCACGUAAAAUUUUACUCAUUUUAUUUAGUUUAUAUACCGUCAUUAUCAGAUAAUUUUUAAAGAAAUAAUUAUUAAGCUUUAUGAGAAUAAAUAAAAUUAGAUCAAGGUGUAGCUAAUAAAUGAGUUAAAAUGGGUUACAAUAAAAUUUAUUUAUUAUGGAUUGAUUGCAGAAGUGAAAUUAUGAAGGAGGAUUUAAUUGUAAUUUGAGUUUAAUAAGCUUAAAAGAUAUAAGCUCUAGAUCAUGUACAUAUCGCCCG